CGGAUUUCACUCAAGAGUCCAUUUUUUGCAUUGGCUACAAUAAAUCAACCCUCUAACUGGCCGAAACGGGCUUGACUUGUUUGUUGCGCUGACUGGAAACGAACAGAGAGAGAGAAGUAGUGCUGUUCCUCGCUUGAGUUGCAACGCUCCUCGGAGUCGCAAACAAGGAGAUGCACAAUAUUGAGCGGUGAUAGGUGGCUGAGAUCAUGAGCUAUGGUGCUGCUGCGUUC
rnacentral:lncRNA from 1 species